CUGUUUUAAUUGUAUUUUACAUGUAAUUUUUUCAUUAAUCUUUAUUCUUUAAUUUAAGUCUCCUUUUUUGCUCCUGCGUGAGUGUAAUUGAUAGCCUAGUGAACCAAAUUCUCGUUUUGCAAAGUUUGGUCUAGGAAUGCUCCAUUGGAGCCUCCGCAGUCCCUAGCAGCGUUCUGGCGGCCCAGUCACAGCUCUUUAUAGGGGUUUCAGAAGGAUAGAGCACUGUGAUUGGUCCACAAUGGUGGACGCAUCACAGCUUGAUUGAAAUGGCUUUUACAUCAGUUUUGGACUAUUGGACUUUAGUAGAAUCAGAAGCAAAUGGAUGUAUUUAAGUCCUUUAUUUAGAAAAAGGAUGUAUUUUUGCCUUUUUCAACAGCAGACCACCUCGUUUACCGACAUCAGUUGUGGUGAGUACAUCACAAUGUUCGUUGUCCAGGAGCAUGCAGAGAUUGUUCGAAAGACAAUGAUAGAACACACCCCACGGCCCAGAACGUUGCCUGACUAAAUAACAUUUAAUUUUUUUUCUUCCAGCUCUUGGAGAGUACAGACACUUUUUUCCUCCUCUCCUCCCUAUCUUAUCCCAAGGCUCUUUGACUGUCUUUCGGUGUACGACGCUUCUGCAUUUUCUCUGGAAACUGGAAAUUAUUUAAAAUGGACCUGGUCAGUUGGUCUCUCAACACGACUGACAAGAUUUUUUCGAUCACUACGUUUACAUGCAGCCAAUAUCCGGGUUAUGAUCGGGUUAAGGUCAGUAUUUGGGUUUCUGAGUAGAUCAGAAUAACCCGUUUACAAGCAUAAAUAGAAAGAGUUACCUCUAACUUGCAUAACCCGAUUUAAAUGCAGACAUUGGGGUAGCGUCAAGACGUAUGGACUACGUCCAGAUGCAAUAUGCCUCAUUUCUGGUUCUUGUUCCGGUAUCCAUGAAAACAACAACAUGUUUCCCAGUUCGGAAGAGAUAGCGACCGCGUUUGUUUGUGCUUUAGUUUCCUCGUCACCCCAAAAGUGUGGUGCUGUGCCGCGACUCGCCAUUUUGCUCCCAACUUGUUGUUUACUUCUGGUGUUCUGGCGCAUACAAGACGUCUCGCUACUCAAAAGACCAAGAUUCCUUGCGAACAGAGCAUGCGCAGAACACAUGCUUUGAUGGGGAUAUCCCGAUAUGCGUUUACACGACCAAACAUUCGGGUUAGAAAAGGGUUACCCCAGGUGUAGUAACCGGGUUUUUAAAAACCUGGUUAUGAGCAUGUCCGGGUUUUUGGCGGUGUUUACAUGGACCUGCGGAACCAGGUUAUUGUGAAUAUUCGGGUUUAAAAAGGGUUACUGGCUGCAUGUAAACGUAGUCAAUGAUGACAACGGGAGAAGGGGCUCCCGGGUGCCCCCCUGGGACAGAGCCAGCUGGGCAUAUCAUGGACUCCUGUGUAACGUGAUGAAGGAGCUAUUCCUCCAAGGUAUUUAACCUUUUCCACAGUUCCUUUUGACACAGCGCCAGAGUGCAUGAAACAGCCUCAAGGUCAUGCAUUCGCUUCUAAACUGUUUACUUUCCAGCAAUGAAGACAGAAGAUGAAGACUGCUUUCUUUUCUUUUAUUAAAUCAAAGAACUCUAUUUUCAACAAAGCUCAUCAAAACAACUGUUAGUCAAUAAUACAAUGUGACUGAUCUGUGAAAUCACAAUAUUAUGAUUAAUAUGUUCUAAUAAGUAAUAUGACUUAAUCUAGUCACUAGACACACUGACACACGUAAGGAAAACAAUCACAUGACACAUUGCUGUACUGAUCCAAUCAGAACCUUCCUAGUCUGAAGCGUGGCAUAGUCUCUGUGGUGUUUAUAAAUCUGUCAGCUUUGAUUCGUCCAGAAUCAAAAACAUCCAGAUUAAUAAAACUGUUCCAACGCCAUCUUAAGUUCAGUUCUCAAGAUCUCGUUCUCAAGAUCCCAUGAAGUUCACCGCAUGUUAAGUAUGGACAGGCCAUCUGUACUUCUCUUUUUAAGCUGAGAACCAUUCAAGCUGGGAAAAUUCUGUUGUUUACCAACCAAGCAACGGUACCUUUCAGAAUAAAAGCUGAACUCGCUGACCCAAGGAGGGUCCCCUUUUGACACUGUGAACCACCUGUCGCUUUUUACCUGGAGACUAUCCGAAGACUGGUUUGUCGUGCUGUCGACGCUGCUUCAUCGGCUCCAGUACCAGAGGAGGGUCUGUGGACCUGGCAUCCGGAUCUGUACGGAGGUCUCACUGAGGAGGAUUCUGAAGACGUCUGGAUAGUCGUGGUGUUGGUGUCGGGAUUCCUGCUGUUUGGCCUGAGUGGUUACCUGACUUACCGGAAAAUUAAUGAGCUGUCGAGGAAUAUUGGCUCAAUCCGGGAGCUCAGGGAUGGAUUACACCGUGCUGUGAACGCACAAACUCAUAUAAUUGUCGAGAUGAGUCGUAAGCUUGGAACUUUGGCUGAGAUUCAGACUCUGGCAUGUAAGGUUGAUUCAAUCAAGGAGCGAGUUGACGGGACAGCACGGUUGGGAAUAAAUUAAUUUACGCCAUUAUUUGGAUCUAGAGAGGUUGGAGACCAACAGAACUUUAAGACAGAGAGGAAAUUAUCUCUGUCUGGCCCCAAAACAAGUUCUUAUCUGAAUCUGGUGCCCUUGAGCCUGUGAGGCUGAAGUGAUUACUCCCCCUCAGAAGAAAUGUGGAAUGCUGCCGUCGCCAUGGCAACUCUGUCUCCCUAUCCCAGCCUGGGCGGGACUGUGACCGGUGAAGGCCGUGGAACCGUUUCCAGGAGUCAUUGUGCUUUCUAAACCCAACUACCUCCCUCCCCUGUCCAAACGGAGGUGACGAGCGCUGCUCAUUGUGGCAUGCACUGAUGUGAGGAGAGUCCCCAACCCUUCCUCCCCACCUAGUGGACACUUAUGUUGUGUAAUGUCUGAAGUCUGUUGCAUUUCUGUCUGAGGUGUUUUUUGCAUAGCAACGCUGCCUUUCCUGUGGAAGGUAACUCUGAAGUGCCUUUUUUUCCUCCACCUGACUCAAUCCUCAAAUAAACUCCUCUGAUCUCUA